rnacentral:rRNA from 1 species
CUUCUGGUCUGUAACUGACACUGAGGCGCGAAAAGCGUUGGGGAGCCAAACCAGGAUUAGAUACCCUGGUAGUUCACGCCGUAAACGAUGAGUGCUUAGUGUUAGAGGGGUUUCCGCCCUUUAGUGCUGAAGUUAACGCAUUAAGCACUCCGCCUGGGGAGUACGGCCGCAAGGCUGAAACUCAAAGGAAUUGACGGGGGCCCGCACAAGCGGUGGAGCAUGUGGUUUAAUUUGAAGCAACGCGAAGAACCUUACCAGGUCUUGACAUCCUUUGACAACCCUAGAGAUAGGGCUUUUCCUUUGGGAGCAGAGUGACAGGUGGUGCAUGGUUGUUGUCAGCUCGUGUCGUGAGAUGUUGGGUUAAGUCCCGCAACGAGCGCAACCCUUGAUUUUAGUUGCCAUCAUUUAGUUGGGCCCUUUAAGGUGACUGCCGGUGACAAACCGGAGGAAGGUGGGGAUGACGUCAAAUCAUCAUGCCCCUUAUGACCUGGGCUACACACGUGCUACAAUGGACGGUACAAAGAACUGCAAGACCGCGAGGUGGAGCUAAUUUCAUAAAACCGUUUUCAGUUCGGAUUGUAGGCUGCAACUUGCCUACAUGAAGCUGGAAUCGCUAGUAAUCGCGGAUCAGCAUGCCGCGGUGAAUACGUUCCCGGGCCUUGUACACCCCCCCCGUCACCCCCCGAGAGUUUGUAACCCCCGAAGUCGGUGGGGUUACCUUUUGGAGCC